CAGCCGCCACGGUAAUACGGAGGGUGCAAGCGUUAUCCGGAUUUAUUGGGUUUAAAGGGUCCGUAGGCGGACUUAUAAGUCAGUGGUGAAAGCCUGUCGCUUAACGAUAGAACUGCCAUUGAUACUGUAAGUCUUGAGUAUAUUUGAGGUAGCUGGAAUAAGUAGUGUAGCGGUGAAAUGCAUAGAUAUUACUUAGAACACCAAUUGCGAAGGCAGGUUACCAAGAUAUAACUGACGCUGAGGGACGAAAGCGUGGGUAGCGAACAGGAUUAGAUACCCCUGUAGUCCCUGUCUCUUAUAC
rnacentral:rRNA from 1 species